CCAGCAGGCCGCCUUAUCGCGUUCUAACCACAGAGCGAGGAAAGUCCGGACACCAGAGGGCAGCAUAGCGGGUAACGCCCGUCACUGCGGGAUGCAGAACCGCGGGAGGACAAGUGCAACAGAAAGUAUGUACAGGUAAUGCUGUAGUGAAACCAGGUAAACUCUAUGCGGUGAAAUGCCAUGUACACCGGCUAUAUGUAGGACGGCCCGUCCGAUGCCGGGGGGUAGGCAGAUAGAGCCAUUCAGUAAUGAAUGGUCCAGAUAAAUGAUAAGGGCCGCGUCGUUGACGGGCACAGAAUCCGGCUUACAGGCCUGCUUUAUUU
rnacentral:RNase_P_RNA from 1 species